GGGCCCGCGUUAGGCCCAGGGUGAGGGCGCGUUCGGCUCCCCUCGGCCCCCCCUUUCGGCUCCCUUCGGCCCCCUUCGGCCCCCUUCGGCCCCCUUCGGCCCCCCUUCGGCUCCUCUCGGCUCCCCUCGGUUCUCCUCAGCUCCCCGGCCGUGUGAGGGGGCGGGCGGCGAGGGCGGACGUCAGGUUUGCACAGAAUCCGUGAAAACAGAAGGGAACUCUGUGCCCUGCCUCGCUGCGCUGUGCCCGGAGCCCUGUGGUGAGGCGUGCUGGCAGCAAGAUGAGCGCCCUCAGCUCGCAGGAUGAUGAAGAUACCUUUAAAAUACUGAUUGCUACUGAUAUUCAUCUUGGCUACUUGGAGAAGGACCCAGUGCGUGGAAAUGACACGUUUGUAACUUUUAAUGAAAUCUUGGAGCAGGCUCAAAAAAAUGAAGUGGACUUUGUUUUAUUAGGUGGGGACCUCUUUCAUGACAACAAACCUUCCAGGAAAACAAUACAUUCUUGUUUAGAGUCCCUGAGGAAAUACUGCAUGGGUGAUCGUCCUAUUCACUUUGAGAUUUUGAGUGAUCAGGCAGUUAAUUUUCAAUAUAGCAAGUUUCCAUGGGUGAACUACCAAGAUGGAAAUCUCAACAUUUCUAUUCCAAUUUUUAGUAUUCAUGGCAAUCACGAUGAUCCAACAGGGGCAGAUGCACUGUGUGCAUUGGAUAUUUUAAGCUGUGCAGGAUUGGUGAAUCACUUCGGGCGUUCAACUUCUGUGGAGAAAAUAGAUAUUAGCCCCAUUUUAUUGCGCAAGGGUGGAACAAAAAUUGCUCUGUAUGGCUUAGGAGCCAUUCCAGACGAGAGGUUGUAUCGUAUGUUUGUCAAUAAACAAGUAACCAUGCUGAGACCAAAGGAAGAUGAGGACAGUUGGUUUAACUUGUUUGUGAUUCAUCAAAACAGGAGCAAACAUGGAGCCACCAACUACAUUCCAGAGCAGUUUUUGGAUGACUUUAUUAAUCUUGUUGUGUGGGGUCAUGAACAUGAGUGUAAAAUAGCUCCAGUCCCAAAUGAACAGCAAAAUUUCUAUGUUUCUCAGCCAGGAAGUUCGGUGGUGACAUCUCUGUCCCCUGGAGAAGCUGUGAAGAAACACAUCGGUUUGCUGCAUGUUAAAGGGAAAAAAAUGAAAAUGCACAAGAUUGCUCUAGAAACAGUGCGAACUUUCUACCUGGAGGAUGUUGUUCUAGCUGAUCAUCCAGAUCUUUUUAAUCCUGACAAUCCUAAAGUAACUCAGGCAAUACAAGCAUUCUGCAUGGAAAAGGUUGAAAUGAUGCUGGAUAACGCAGAAAGAGAACGCCUAGGAAAUCCACGCCAGCCGGAAAAGCCUCUCAUAAGAUUACGAGUCGAUUAUACAGGUGGCUUUGAGCCAUUCAGCAUCUUUCGUUUUAGCCAGAAGUACGUGGAUAAGGUGGCUAACCCAAAAGACAUCAUACACUUCUUCAGACGUCGUGAGCAAAAAGCGAAAAAUGGAAGCAGUAUCAAUUUUGGAGACCUGGUCAGCAGACCUGUUUCUGAGGGGAUGACGCUGAGAGUGGAAGACCUCGUAAAGCAGUAUUUUCAGACAGCAGAGAAGAAAGUACAGCUUUCACUUCUAACGGAAAGAGGAAUGGGAGAAGCAGUGCAGGAGUUUGUGGACAAAGAGGAGAAAGAUGCUAUAGAAGAGCUUGUGAAAUUUCAACUAGAAAAAACACAGAGGUUUCUUAAGGAGCGUCACAUUGAUGCAGUGGAAGAAAAAAUAGAUGAGGAGGUGCGAAAAUUUAGGGAGUGUAGAAGAAAAAACGCCGAAGAGGAGGAUGAGGAAGUUCGUGAGGCAAUGACCAGGGCUAGAGCUCACAGAUCUGAAGACGCAGUUCUUGUGUCAGCCUCCAGUGAUGAAGAGCUCAUGGAUACAGGGGCGAAGGCCUCUGGUGAUUCAGAUGAUGACCUUCCUGCAACAGUGACUCGAGGAAGGGGUCGGGGGAGAGGUAGGGCAAGAGGUGCAAGAGGACAAAAUUCAACAGUAAGAGGCUCGUCUCGAAGGGGAAGAGGAAACACUAGCCAAGAGUCAGCUACUAGCAGCAGAACCUACAAGUCUGUCCCUGCCAAGAAUAAGUCGAUCAUGGAUGCCUUUAAGUCUUUGAAAACAGAGCCCUUCCAGAAUUCAUCUAAAUCUUUCUCUGAGGAUAUUAUAGAUGAUGACUCAGAUCUAGAAGACAUUCAUAUCACUCCUUCUUCCAAAGUAAAUCAAAGGUUCUCAACUACAUCUUCAUUUAGUAAAAGAGGUUCACAAAGCCAAACAACAUCAAGAGGAGUUGAUUUUGAGUCAGAUGAGGAUGAUCCAUUCCAAAGCGCCACGACAUCACGCCGAAAUAGAUGAAUGCUGCCUCACUGUAGAGGAGAGACCACGAAAGUUAGUGAAGAAAAUGGAAAGUAGUAUGCAGGGCAUACUCCAUAUGACGUUUCUCUGUAUCUUGCCUCAGCCAUCCUAAAAUGUCAUCACUGUUUUUCCAAAUGUUUCUCCAAAUGAGACUUUUAAGAGAAGAUCCUGUACUCACCCUGGGGGAACCACACCUUCUGUUGAAGGAGCCAAGACCUAGGCACGCUUCUCCUUGCCCCUUUCCCCACUCCCAUAAAAAUGAUGAUAUGCAGCUGCAGCCUUUAGAGUUAAUCAAGGAAUAGGCUAGAAGUGUUCGUCAGCUAACACCCCAGCGUGUCAGAGAAAUACCAAAUACAAUGGGUAACUGAAGCCAUACUUCUGCAUUUUUAUGUUCUCCAUCAAAGAGAUGGGAUUGGGCAUUUAUGUUGCUCUGGCUCUUGCUGAGCAUGACUGUCGUUACUUUGUCUGCAUAUAUGCUGUAGCAGAGCAUGUCCCUUGAGCUUCCUGAAGACUUCCAUAAAAACAAUCAAGACCAUCAAAUUUCUAGCGUAGAGCUCAGUAACUUACAAAGGAGUGCAGUUGCAUACUGCAUCAGGAAAUUUGAUGUCUGACCCUUUCAUUGAGGGCUAUCAAAGCUCUUAUAAUAUUACCUAUGCAAUUAAAAAGCUGCUGUAAAUGCCCUCCAGGAUGGGGGUUGUGGUUUUUGUUUCGUUUUUAAUAAAACUAUUUCUGUUAAGUAAAUUCUGAAAGUCAAUUGUAUGGAGUGCUUUAAUCUGAGGGAUUGAGUUUUUAAAAAUAUUGUGGUUCUUCAUGUUGCUAUCCAAAUUAAACCUGUUUUGUUACUAAAAGAAAAAAAAAAUAAAUCACCCCGUUUAAAAUU